rnacentral:rRNA from 1 species
UACGGGGGGAGCAAGCGUUGUUCGGAUUUACUGGGCGUAAAGGGCGCGUAGGCGGCCAGCACAAGUCAGUUGUGAAAUCUCCGGGCUUAACUCGGAAAGGUCAACUGAUACUGUGCGGCUAGAGUGCGGAAGGGGCAACUGGAAUUCUCGGUGUAGCGGUGAAAUGCGUAGAUAUCGAGAGGAACACCUGCGGCGAAGGCGGGUUGCUGGGCUGACACUGACGCUGAUGCGCGAAAGCCAGGGGAGCGAACGGG